ACGAACGUUGGCGGCGUGCCUAAUACAUGCAAGUCGAGCGAGAAAGCCGGGGCAACUCGGCGAGUACAGCGGCGGAAGGGUGCGUAAUACAUGGAUAACGUACCUCCCAGUUGGGGAUAACCCUCCGAAAGGUGGGCUAAUACCGAAUGAUGGCGCGGGGCGGCAUCACCCUGCGCUCAACGACGCAAGUCGCUGGGAGAGCGGUCCAUGGCCUAUCAGCUAGUUGGCGGGGUAACGGCCCACCAAGGCAAUGACGGGUAGCCGGACUGAGAGGUUGAACGGCCACACGGGAACUGAGACACGGUCCCGACAUCUACGGAUGGCAGCAGUAGGGAAUCUUGCGCAAUGGGCGAAAGCCUGACGCAGCGACGCCGCGUGGGGGAUGAAGGCCUUCGGGUUGUAAACCCCUUUCAUGAGGGAAGAACACUGACCUAACCUCAGGAAGAAGCACCGGCUAACUCCGU
rnacentral:rRNA from 1 species